AUUUGGUGCUGGAGACACUUAAUGCAUAAUUUCUUGAAUCGCUCCCAGUAAUCAUAGAGCGUCUCUCCUAGAUGUUACUUGAUACCACAUAUCUCAUUCCUUAGACU